AGAAACAGAUCAUAAUCAGACCUGUUGGCAGCAAUCGCAGGUGAAGGGCAGGAAAUCAAUCUGGCGGCAAUCAUCGACGCUGCAGUGUUUCCCGAGAUUUGGGAUUGCCGGAGUCCCCAUUCCGUUCAAAUCGAAAAAUGCGAAUCCUCGAAUUCGGGAUUGGGACUGGAAGAACAAAACCGACUUAUAUAAAUCGGAAGAGUUGAAAAAAUAAGCUCAGACGACAGAGAUUCCGGCGAUGGGUGAGGAAUCCCUAGAUUUGCGUCGGCGAAUUGGGAAUUCGGGGUCGAAUCUUGUGCUUUUUCUCUCCCGAAUUCCGCGUUUCAGACGGAAAUGGAAACAGCGAUGAAUCGAAGCUUCUUAGAAUUUCAACGAGGAAGAAUGGACUCAUUCGAAGUCGUUUCCUAUUUAUAUAUUUUGGCUUUCGCAAACCGGUGGUUUAUUUGGUCGGUUUUACUCCCUCCGUCCGCCAAAAGUGUACCACUUUGGCUGGGCACGGGAUUUAAUAAAAUUGGUGAUGAUUUUGAUGUAGUGGAGAAAGGGUCCCACCACUUUAUGGGAUGUGUGGUUGAGAUUGAAUUUGGGGUGGGUUUUAUUGUAAAUAAAGAGUGUUUGUAAGGAUAAAAGAUUAAAGUGGGUGGUGGGACCAUUUCCAUAAAAGGAAAGUGGUAUACUCUUUGCGGACGCCCAAUAUAGUAAAAGUGGUAUACUUUUGGCGGACAGAGGGAGUAUUAUUUAACAAUCGAAUUGAAUCAUUGAAUUUUCAUUUUUUGCAUUUGCA
rnacentral:lncRNA from 1 species